rnacentral:rRNA from 1 species
AACGAACGCUGGCGGCAGGCUUAACACAUGCAAGUCGAGCGCCCCGCAAGGGGAGCGGCAGACGGGUGAGUAACGCGUGGGAAUCUACCCAUCUCUACGGAAUAACGCAUGGAAACGUGUGCUAAUACCGUAUACGUCCUUCGGGAGAAAGAUUUAUCGGGGAUGGAUGAGCCCGCGUUGGAUUAGCUAGUUGGUGGGGUAAAGGCCUACCAAGGCGACGAUCCAUAGCUGGUCUGAGAGGAUGAUCAGCCACACUGGGACUGAGACACGGCCCAGACUCCUACGGGAGGCAGCAGUGGGGAAUAUUGGGCAAUGGGCGCAAGCCUGAUCCAGCCAUGCCGCGUGAGUGAUGAAGGCCCUAGGGUUGUAAAGCUCUUUCACCGGUGAAGAUAAUGACGGUAACCGGAGAAGAAGCCCCGGCUGACUUCGUGCCAGCCGCCGCCGUAACAC